AACCCAAGGUUGACCUCGGAUCAGGUAGGA
rnacentral:rRNA from 1 species